rnacentral:rRNA from 1 species
UUGACCUCAAAUCAGGUGGGACUACCCGCUGAACUUAAGCAUAUCAAUAAGCGGAGGAAAAGAAACUAACAAGGAUUCCCUUAGUAACUGCGAGUGAAGUGGGAAGAGCUCAAAUUUGAAAUCUGGCAGUCUCUGGCUGUCCGAGUUGUAAUCUAGAGAAGUGUUGCCCGCGCUGGACCGUGUACAAGUCUCCUGGGAUGGAGCGUCAUAGAGGGUGAGAAUCCCGUCUCUGACAUGGACUACCAGGGCUUUUGUGGUGCGCUCUCAAAGAGUCGAGUUGUUUGGGAAUGCAGCUCAAAAUGGGUGGUAAAUUCCAUCUAAAGCUAAAUAUUGGCGAGAGACCGAUAGUGAACAAGUACCGUGAGGGAAAGAUGAAAAGAACUUUGGAAAGAGAGUUAAACAGUACGUGAAAUUGCUGAAAGGGAAACGCUUGAAGUCAGUCGCGUUGGCCAGGGAUCAGCCUUGCUUCUUAGUGUGGUGUACUUCCUGGUUGACGGGUCAGCAUCGGUUUCGACUGCUGGAGAAAGGCUUGGGGAAUGUGGCAGCUCUGGCUGUGUUAUAGCCUCCUGUCAGAUACAGUGGUUGGGACUGAGGAACGCAGCAUGCCGCAAGGCCGGGGCUAAUAUCAGCCUACGUUCAUGCUUAGGAUGUUGACAUAAUGGCUUUAAGCGACCCGUCUUGAAACACGGACCAAUC